AAUCACCUACCAUUUAUCAGCUUGGCUUUUCACGUUGGGCUUAAAGGCCAUUAUGCUGGGGUACUUAAUUCAAUACAUAACUCAUAUUAAACUGGUUGUUCUUUUAGCAUCUUUUAUUGGUGUACAGGAGCUUCUGUAGCUUGCAUAUGUAGUUUGAAUGGACAAUACUUAAAUUACCAAACAUGAACUCCCUUUUCAUCAAUACUUUUAUAUAUUUAUUUGCUUUUAAGUGUCCAUUGUGAAAUAAGUGGUGAGUGGACAUCCGUUACCUUUUGUGCUGUCAAUAAUCUCAUUUUUUUUUCUUUUCAUGUGUAUUCUUUAGGAGAGUGAUGUAAAGUGGGCUUCUAGAUGGGAUGCUUAUCUGUUAAUGACUGGCAACAAAAUUCACUGGUUUUCAAUUGUCAAUUCGGUGAUGAUUUUCCUCUUCCCUUUCGGGAUGGUAGCAAUGAUAAUGCUAAGAACACUCUACCGUGACAUUUGAUAAAUAAUUUAUCGUGGGAUUGGUAUAUACAAAUUUUGAAUAUGCAAGCUAUUUGAUUGUAUGGUCUGUAGAAUUGGAUUAUUUACUUUGUUCUAUUUUGUCAUUCAAUUGCGAACAAUAAUUUUAAUGUGUUAACUAUGGAGUUUCUUUCACUAUAUCAGGGAGCAUGAUACUGUGUGCUGAUGGUACCAUCUCAUUUUGGCUUUAUCUUGUGACAAAUAAAAAGGCCUCGUGAGAUGCCGAUGUGACAACUCUGCCAUGCUUGGUGAGAGAAAGAAUGUUAAUCUUCCAGAGGUCGUUGUGGAUCUCCCAACCUCAACAGAAAAAGACAAAGAAGAUAUUAUCAAUUGGGGGAUUCCAAACAAGAUUGACAUGAUUGCUCUGUCUUUUGUUCGAAAAGGUUCAGACCUAGUGGAGGUAUGCAAGCUCCUUUGGAAAGCAUGAUAAGAACAUCCUUCUCAUGUUAAAGGGUAUUCCUACUAAGGAGAUAGUUGAAGACAAGAAUUUGGAGUUUGCUACUAAGUGGGAUAGAAGAACAAAUCUUGUUUACACAGGACAUGAUAUUGAUGAAGUUCGAGCUGAACGGGCGAAGCAUGUUUUGAAGUUUCCACAAAUGUAGUGCACACAAAGAGGGUCUAUGGUAUAUGCAUAGUUAGGGUCAACUGUGAUUUUGUGCAUAUUGACAUUGCAUGCAUAGCUAGAUUAUGGAGAGUUUUUUAGCCUAGCUAAGAUGAUCGACUUUUGCCUUUAUCGAUCAUUAUUUUAACCUCCUAACAGCUUAUCAACUUUAGGAUGAAUUGAUGGAAAUGUUGAAUGUUGAUGUAGUUACUGGUUGAUUGAAAUGAAAUGACUUUUGACUUGUUAUAGUUAGA